rnacentral:rRNA from 1 species
AUGCAGGAGGGGUUUGUGAAAGGGGUACUCUCAGGGUAUAAUAAUUGUGAAGUCAAUAUGCUGCAAUAUGCAGAUGAUACAAUUUUCCUGCUACAAGAUGAUGAGGAAAGUGCAAAGAAUUUGAAAUUCAUUUUAACAGCUUCUAAACAAAUGUCUGCACUGACCAUUAACUUUCAUAAGAGUGAAAUUUUCUUAUUUGGAGAGGCUGUAAAUAAGACUGAUAUAUAUCAAGAGAUCUUUACAUGUGAGGUGGGAAAGAUGCCCAUUAAAUAUCUAGGACUACCGGUGGCUGAUAUUAGACUAGGAAACAAAUUCUGGAAGGGAGUUACAGAAAAAACUGAGAAAAGAUGUGCAUGUUGGUAA